rnacentral:rRNA from 1 species
UACGAAGGGGGCUAGCGUUGUUCGGAUUUACUGGGCGUAAAGCGCACGUAGGCGGAUCUUUUAAGUCAGAGGUGAAAUCCCAAGGCUCAACCUUGGAACUGCCUUUGAUACUGGGGAUCUUGAGUCCGGGAGAGGUGAGUGGAACUGCGAGUGUAGAGGUGAAAUUCGUAGAUAUUCGCAAGAACACCAGUGGCGAAGGCGGCUCACUGGCCCGGUACUGACGCUGAGGUGCGAAAGCGUGGGGAGCAAACAGG